rnacentral:tRNA from 1 species
GCCGUGGUAGCACCAGCGGUUUGCACUUGGCCACUAACCAAAAGAUUGAUGGUUCAAACCCACCCAGCGGCA